rnacentral:lncRNA from 1 species
GUUUCUUAAAUGAUAUUUCCUAGACCACUACAGCAGUUUAUAGUCUGUUGUUUUAACAACCGCAUCUCCCUUUCCCAGGGUCAAGUGCCUGGUCAUAAGGAGAAAAUGCCAACAUCAUUUAUUUUAUUCCCUGGUUCACUCCUGAGUCACACUGGUGAAUGAGAUGGAAGUGAUUUGGUGCCUAAAUAACCAUGACUGUUUAUAUGUGAAGAUGUCGUUCACGCAGUGGACAAACCUCAGUCAGAAGAUUAUUUUCCAUGUGCUUAUCUGGUACAUGCCUGGAGAACGCAAAUUCACUUCAAUAUUAACAUAAUUUGGAAGGCAAACCCAGCACCAAAGCAUAUGUACUUUAUAAGCAUGAACAACUUUUGAAUUUUCUUCUGUUUGAAAUUUUCUCCAUCAACGUUCCUCUCUACUUAUACAGGUAAAUAAUGGUUGAUGUGGAUAAGUGUGUGCAUACACAUGUGUGUGCAUGAAGACAAAUUGCAUUGUUUAAGACGGCUGUACUGGGAAAGUAACAUUUAAUACUAGAGUAAACAUUUAAACCUAUUUAGUAAAACUAGAUGUGAAAACAUAUCUUCCAACGGAGGUUACUCUCUUUUCCCAACCGUUCUACCCAAAAAGAUGUCCCAGAGAUAUUGUCAAAAACAUGAUCAGAUGAAUCAAUAAUUGUCCACAUGAAUGGUUGAAUAUAUUCUGUAGCAGCUGAUGAGAGAUCAUGUUGGUUUUUACCAUGCUCUAGAAUAUGCCUACCUGUGAGUUUUUUAAUUAUGAAAGCUAAUAUCCCAAGGAAAUUUCAUCUAUGAGAUGAAAUUUUUAGGCAGUUGAACUUGUUCUUGCUGUUUGGGAUAUGGAAAUUAGGCAAAGUCAGGCAACCUACUAAGUUUCCUUCUGUUAACAGAAGAGGGGAAGGUGAUGAAUUGGGACUGUGUGAAACUUUCUUUGAACACGUCCAAAAAUGUAUCUAAAGUGAGAAAUUGAAGAACCUAGACUGAUACUAAAUGUAAUACAUUUAUUUCAAUGCAGUUGCAUCAUUGGGAAUCUAAUUAAUCAAAAGAAGUGCACUGAACAUUUGAUUAAGGGAUAAAGGCACGUGCCUAGAGUGGUCCCACCUUGGUUUUGUGUUUCUUUCAAUUCUUUGAUACCUCUUUCAAGACAUCAUUCAGCCCUGAGCUGGGCGACCAAACCAUAUGAGAGCCUGCACUUUCUAGUCAUAUGAUUCUAGAACAUGAAUGGUAACAUUCUUAGAAAACAUACAUUGAUAUUGUGAUUGCAAUAGGAUAUUGAGCUCAGCAGCCUGUGUUUUUUGUUUUUUUGUUUUGUUUUGUUUUCCUGCAUACACUUCUGUAAUAUCAACUGUAAAAAUCAACACACUUUGUACUUGCCAAAUGGGAAGUUAUCAAGACAGAAGCUGGCAUUCUUUUCGGCAGCAAAAUACCUUAUUCAGACUCAGCUCCGCCACUAAACUGGCCAGGCAGGCUUUCUCCUGGCAGACUCUCAGAAAUAUCAGUAUUCCUUUCUCUCUUCGCUCUCUCAGAACUUCCACUCCCAGGAAGGAAAUAACCACGCUAUUUGCAAAAGAUUAAGAUGUUCAUUUUACUAUGUAAAAGAUGUCUCCAUGCCAUAAUUAUCAUUGUAAAAGAAGUAUAUAAUAAGAAUAAUAAUUUCCUGUUUGUCCCAUCAAUUGAGAUUUUCAUGUUCUUUGAUAAGUAGGGUGAAGAUUUUGCUGAAAAGAAAAUGAUGUUAAUAUUAGAGGUUACCAGGAGUGAGACUUGUUUUAUUUUAAUGCUGUUUAUUUUACUUUAUCUCUUUCCAAUUCUGGCAAGGAAAUGAGAAAUUGUUGUCUUAAAAAUUCAAUGUCAUAUCAUUUCAGCUCCAUUGGUUUUUGGUAAAUAACUUGUUGCUGAAGAGAGAGGUUGCUGGAAGACUCUCAGAGUCAGUUCCAUUUUAACCAAGAACUGCUAGCCUUGAUGUGGGUUGGAUCAUUUUUGAGUCUGAGGCUAAAUGCCUUCUUGGUUCCUUUUGAAAAAAUACUGAUUUAAGGGGACUGAUAUUGUGUCAUCACUAUUCAACAGCUUAAAAUAAACGGUUAAGAAUCUGGAAGUGUGGUUGAGCAUUGCCUGUGCUGGCAUUGUGUAAAAGAAGGAGCUGUAUUUAAUUUGUAUACUUGAAUUAAAAUGAGAUCAAGAAUUCUCCAAAGUGUAACCAAACAGAAUUGCCUACAGUCUUAUUUUGAUAACUAAAUGAUAGAUGAUUUCUGUUAUUAUGUUUGCCACAUUCUUAAUAAUACUAAUAAAUUG